AUUUGGGAGGAAUUUGGUCUUAUUUGGGGUUGUUUUGGGCUAUUUUGGGGUAAUUUGGGCUAUUUUGGGCUAUUUUGGGGUGAUUUGGGGUCUUUUGGGGGUAAUUUGGGCUAUUUUGGAGUGAUUCGGGGACUUUUGGGUUGAUAUGAGGAAGAAUUUGGGGUUUGGGGGUGUGAUUCGGGUUGUUUCGGGGCUAUUUUGGCAUAAUUGGGGCAGUUUGGGCUGGUUUGGUGUCUUUCAGGUAGUUUAGGGACUUUGGGGGUCCUUUGGGCCGAUUUCUGCCAGUUUUGGUUAAUUUGGGGCGCUUUAGGGUUUUUUGGGGGUAUUUUGGGGCGAGAGGUGAGGAUCUUAUAUGGGGUGCUCGGGGUGGAUUUUGGGGUAAUUCCGCCCAAUUCCCUCCGUGCCGCUUUUUGAGGGGGGAGGGCCGUUUUGGGGCCGUUUGGGCCGUUUUUGGUUCACGGCGCCGUUUUGGGGCGGUUUUAGGGCUUUUUGGGGGCGCAUGGGGCGGCUUUGCCGGUGCAGGAGGCGGCGCAAAAGCCCCGGGGCCAAGAGGAAGGCGCCCAAGCAGCAGGGCUGCAGCUGCUGCGCGCCGCCACCGCUGACGUCGCCGCUGACGUCACCGAUGACGUCACCGAUGACCUCACGCCGCAGCACCACCGUCAUCAUCUGGCCCCCCCCGGCCGUCGUCACCCUGGGGGGACCCCGCGUGUCCGUGCUGGGGGGGGGCGGCUGCCCCGUGCCCCAAAAACUCGCUUUUUAGCCCCGAAACGACGUCGCGCCGAAAAAAGAAAAACACCGAAACGACGACGUUUGGAUGAAAAAAAAAAGCAAUUUUUAGCCCCGAAACGGGGGCUCGGCCACGUGCUUGCGGCUCGGGGCUUGGCCCCGGGCCCGACUCUUGGCCAAAAAAGCAGGUUUUGGCCCCAAAACGGGGGGGUUGGUGCAAAAAAAAAAAAAGGGUUUUAGAGCGAAAAAAAAAAGGCAUUUUGGCCAAAAAAGGGCGUUUUUCGAAGAAAAUGUGAUCCUAGCUGCAAAAAGAGGCGGUUUGGCCCCAAAAUUCCCCUCGGGCCCAAACCUGAUUCUUCCCCCGGACCGCGUUUUUACCCAAAAACUGAGUUUUUGUCCCCAAAGUCUGAUCCGAGCCCCCCCCCCCAAAAAAAAAAAAAUAAUAAUAAUUUCUUGCCCCCAAAAUCGCCCGUUUUGUCCUCAAAACCGCGUCGGGCCCCGAA
rnacentral:lncRNA from 1 species